AGCAGCAUUGUACAGGGCUUU
rnacentral:ncRNA from 3 species